UACGGAGGGGGCUAGCGUUGUUCGGAAUUACUGGGCGUAAAGCGCACGUAGGCGGCUUUGUAAGUUAGAGGUGAAAGCCCGGGGCUCAACUCCGGAAUUGCCUUUAAGACUGCAUCGCUAGAAUUGUGGAGAGGUGAGUGGAAUUCCGAGUGUAGAGGUGAAAUUCGUAGAUAUUCGGAAGAACACCAGUGGCGGAGGCGGCUCACUGGACUGGUAUUGACGCUGAGGUGCGAAAGCGUGGGGAGCAAACAGG
rnacentral:rRNA from 1 species